GGGACAGGGAAGCUCACUCAGCAGCGGGGAGAGGGGCUGAGUGGCUGAGUGCUCAUCACUCCUGGCCCUGGAAAGUCGGGCUCCCCUGGGCCCUAACAGGGCUCUCCCUGAUCAGGGAGGUGAGUUCCCAGGAAGCAGGGCUCCCAGGAAUGGGCAGACUGAGCAGGAGAAUCUGAGAGGGUGGAGGCCUCGCGCCCACUCAAGCUUGGGAGCUUGGAGCAGGACACACCCAGGCGGUGUUAGCCUGCAGGAUAGGCAGGAUAGGGUGGAAAAGCACACUCUCUACAGACGGGCAGAGGUGGGGGAGCUAGGGGCCGUGGGGACUUUACUGCCUACACACUCUGAAUCUAAAGCCCCCUCCCUUCCUUUCUAAGCCAAGUUCCUCAUUAGCUUCCCAUUUUAAUCCUUCUCUAGCCUGGUAAUGCUUAAAAAUGUUAAAGAUACAUUAGGUUUUAAAAAUUAUGCUUUUGUUUUC
rnacentral:RNase_P_RNA from 1 species